CUUAUAAGAUUCUUGAUCAGCACAAAUUUCUGCAGUAAUAAUACUGAACAAAUCGAAACAAAUCAUGCAUUUCUUCUCGAUUCUCCCACCUCCUGGACUCGCAAACUAGUCCUAAAAGCAGCAAAAGAAGAUUCAAGAUCGAUCGGGACACAGGACAGGCCAUGAAAAAGUGAAGAGAAAAGCAGAUUCCCAACUCAUGCCAACUCCGGUUCGGAAACAACCCGAAAUGGAAUGCCUUCCAAUUCAACCUCCGGUUCCGAAACAAACAGGUCAGUUUACUCGGUAGAAGAAAGGAAGCGCAGGCGAAUGAUCUCCAACCGGGAUUCAGCUAGGCGGUCCAGGUUGAGAAAGAAGAAGCAAUUGGAAGAACUCACGAACCAAAUGAACCAGCUCAAACUCGAGAAUACAGAAUUAAAGAACCAGUUGUGCUUGGUUUCACACCAAUAUCGCGCGGUUCAAAUGGACUCAACCCGACUAAUGGCCGAGUCAAUCGACCUCCGACAGAAACUGGCCAAUUUAAACCAAAUCUUGGUUAACAUGCAGCUCCCAUCAUCUUUGCACUAACGUCCAGAAAACCGAAAUUGAGGCAAAUAUCCUAGUUAAUCACCAAACUGCCCAAGCUCUAUAUUUCUUGGCCAUGCCAUGCAUGCGUACGUCGUGUUGGGCUUUUAUGUCUUUUCACCUACCAUACCCUGUUGCACCACCCAAGAUCUAAUCAGGGUUUGCUUUUCUGAGGGUUGAUUCAUGAAAACCUCGUCUUCUUAUAGCUCCACGACAUAUAUAUAUAUAUAUAUAUAUAUAUAUAUAUAUAUAUAUGUAUGUAUGUAUGUAUGGCAGCUGAGAAUUAGGGUCAAAAGGCUAGGUUUGUGUUGGAGCUUUAGAACUGAAUCACCUCUAGCUAGACUUAACAAUAAGCGGUUUUGUAAAGUGAUGGUUCCAGCUCUAUCAUAUGAUUAUAAUUAAAUCGUCAAUGUAUAUAUAUAUUAGUCA